GCGAGUGAAGCGGCAAAAGCUCAAAUUUGAAAUCUGGUACUUUCAGUAUCCGAGUUGUAAUUUGAAGAUGUUCCUUUGGGGAGGCGCCUUGUCUAUGUUCCUUGGAACAGGACGUCGCAGAGGGUGAGAAUCCCGUGUGAUGAGGCUGCUGACCUAUGUAAAGGUUCAUCGACGAGUCGAGUUGUUUGGGAAUGCAGCUCUAAGUGGGUGGUAUACUCCAUCUAAAGCUAAAUAUUGGCGAGAGACCGAUAGCGAACAAGUACAGUGAUGGAAAGAUGAAAAGAACUUUGAAAAGAGAGUGAAAAAGUACGUGAAAUUGUUGAAAGGGAAGGUUAUUAGAUCAGACUUGGUUGUGUGGUCAUACUUGUCCUCUUGUAGGGCAUUCACUGACCACUCACUGGGCCAGCAUCGAUUCGUGCGGCGGGACAAUGGCGAUUGAAUGUGGCUGCGAUUUUUUGUUGCAGUGUUAUAGCUUUCGCUGAUACCGCCUGUGUGGAUCGAGGACUGCGUCAAUUUAUUGACUAGGAUGCUGGCGUAAUGAUCUAAUAUCGCCC
rnacentral:rRNA from 1 species